AUUGAACGCUGGCGGCAUGCCUUACACAUGCAAGUCGAACGGCAGCACGGGUGCUUGCACCUGGUGGCGAGUGGCGAACGGGUGAGCAAUACAUCGGAACGUACCUUAUCGGGGGGGAUAACGCAGCGAAAGCUGUGCUAAUAACGCAUACGCCCUGAGGGGGCAAGCGGGGGAUCGCAAGACCUCGCGCGAUUAGAGCGGCCGAUGCCGGAUUAGCUUGUUGGGGGGGUAAAGGCCCACCAAGGCGACGAUCAGUGGCUGGUCUGGGAGGACGAUCAGCCACACUGGGACGGAGACACGGCCCAGACUCCUACGGGAGGCAGCAGUGGGGAAUUUUGGACAAUGGGGGCAACCCUGAUCCAGCAAUGCCGCGUGAGUGAAGAAGGCCUUCGGGUUGUAAAGCUCUUUUGUCAGGGAAGAAACACCGGCUCUAACACAGUCCGGGAAUGACGGUACCUGAAGAAUAUGCACCGGCUAACUACGUGCCAGCCGCCGCAGUAA
rnacentral:rRNA from 1 species